GUGGAUUAGUGGCGAACGGGUGAGUAACACGUGGGCAAUCUGCCCUUCACUCUGGGACAAGCCCUGGAAACGGGGUCUAAUACCGGAUAACACUCUGUCCUGCAUGGGACGGGGUUAAAAGCUCCGGCGGUGAAGGAUGAGCCCGCGGCCUAUCAGCUUGUUGGUGGGGUAAUGGCCUACCAAGGCGACGACGGGUAGCCGGCCUGAGAGGGCGACCGGCCACACUGGGACUGAGACACGGCCCAGACUCCUACGGGAGGCAGCAGUGGGGAAUAUUGCACAAUGGGCGAAAGCCUGAUGCAGCGACGCCGCGUGAGGGAUGACGGCCUUCGGGUUGUAAACCUCUUUCAGCAGGGAAGAAGCGAAAGUGACGGUACCUGCAGAAGAAGCGCCGGCUAACUACGUGCCAGCAGCCGCGGUAAUACGUAGGGCGCAAGCGUUGUCCGGAAUUAUUGGGCGUAAAGAGCUCGUAGGCGGCUU
rnacentral:rRNA from 1 species